GUAAAUGUUCCCUCCUUGGGCACUGGAUGAAUUCUGCUCUGUGUUGCUUUUUACUGUGACAGUGCAACACUGAGUUCCAAUACAAAGUCCCACAGUCAUUUUCCUUUUCAUUCCCCAAGUAUUCAGAUUCUCUCUUCAUGCCAUGUGGUGGCUGCCAGAGAGAGAAGAGGUGUCAGCAAUUCAAGACUGUGUUUCCUUACUCUCUUCAGUGCCUCCUUCCUUGAUAUGAUGUUAAAACCAGGAAUGGAGUCUUGCCAUGGUGCCCCAGCUGGCUUUGAACUUCUGGGCUCAAACAAUCCUCCUGCCUCAGCCUCCCAGAAUUAUCAAUAUUGAAAGCCAGUUACUGAUGAUAACAUAGAGAUCCACUGGAAUCCUAGAGAAGCUGCACCCUGAAUGGAUAUAAA
rnacentral:lncRNA from 1 species